rnacentral:rRNA from 1 species
AGAGUUUGAUCAUGGCUCAGAUUAAACGCUGGCGGCAUGCCUUACCCAUGCAAGUCGAACGGUAGCGCGGGGCAACCUGGCGACGAGUGGCGAACGGGUGAGUAAAGCAUCGGAACGUGCCCUGGAAUGGGGGAUAACGUAGCGAAAGUUACGCUAAUACCGCAUAUUCUGUGAGCAGGAAAGCAGGGGAUCGCAAGACCUUGCGUUCUGGGAGCGGCCGAUGUCGGAUUAGCUAGUUGGUGGGGUAAAAGCCUACCAAGGCGACGAUCCGUAGCGGGUCUGAGAGGAUGAUCCGCCACACUGGGACUGAGACACGGCCCAGACUCCUACGGGAGGCAGCAGUGGGGAAUUUUGGACAAUGGGCGGAAGCCUGAUCCAGCCAUGCCGCGUGAGUGAAGAAGGCCUUCGGGUUGUAAAGCUCUUUCGGUGGGGAAGAAAUUGCACGGGUUAAUACCCUGUGUAGAUGACGGUACCCGACUAAGAAGCACCGGCUAACUACGUG